UGGGGAAUAUUGCACAAUGGAGGGAACUCUGAUGCAGCGACGCCGCGUGAACGAAGAAGGCUUUCGAGUCGUAAAGUUCUUUUAUAUGGGAAGAUAAUGACGGUACCAUAAGAAAAAGCCCCGGCUAACUACGUGCCAGCAGCCGCGGUAAUACGUAGGGGGCUAGCGUUGUCCGGAAUCACUGGGCGUAAAGGGUUCGCAGGCGGAAAUGCAAGUCAGGUGUAAAAGGCAGUAGCUUAACUACUGUAAGCAUUUGAAACUGCAUAACUUGAGAAGAGUAGAGGUAAGUGGAAUUUUUAGUGUAGCGGUGAAAUGCGUAGAUAUUAAAAAGAAUACCGGUGGCGAAGGCGGCUUACUGGGCUCAUUCUGACGCUGAGGAACGAAAGCGUGGGUAGCAAACAGG
rnacentral:rRNA from 1 species